rnacentral:lncRNA from 1 species
GACUGAAUUCAACACCAUGUUUCUUGUCCUGCUGUUGCUCUGUGCAGGACUUUCCCUGACUACCUGCGACAUCACUGUUCAUCUAAACUCCAGCAUUCCCCUUUCUUGUCUUCCUGAUGAUGCCCCUGUGCUGGAUGACCCCAAAUACACCUGGAGCUUCACGUCUGCUCACACAAAGGAGCAGCACACACUUGAGGAAAAGGAAAACUCCUGAACCUCAGAAACAUAGAUAUCACCCAAGAAGGACAGUACAAGUGUGUUCAUGCUGGCUAUAAAGGGGAGGAUCGGAUGAGGUUGAGCAGAACAUUCACAAUACAUGUGAAAGGUCAGAAGGUUUUGUUGCGUUGUUGACUUUUAAUCUCAGAGGUCAAUUAACAAACUGAACCCUUUCUUUUUCUUAGUGCCCCCACCCUUUCAGGAAUGGCAGGUCAUCAAAGAAGUAUAUGGGAAUGAUGUGACACUUCCAUGCAAGACUGCUAGGUUUUUCUCUUCCGGAGAGACAGUAUACCCUCCGAGACAGAAAAUAGGUAUGGUGGAUCUCAAGCUCGACAAAGAACACAAAUGACCAGGAGGAGGAGGACAAGACACCUCAGAGGAUUUCUGGAACAGCAGCCCUAAAGAACAGGACUGGGCAUUAAAAUUAAGUCAGACCAUAGAGGAAGAUGCUGGGAUGUACCACUGUGUCAUAUCUAAUACAUCUCAGAUGCUGUCAGUGGAGCUGGAAGUGGAAGGUACUCCUUUCAGACACUUAUAUAAAAUGCCGUUUUCUGUCUGUUUUAAUGUUAUUGUCAUAUUUUAUUAGUAAAAAAAUGAAUAAAAUACAUAAAAAUAUGACAAUAUAUUAAAAUGUUUAUAAAUACUUUGUUUUAACUUACGAAUAAUAAAUCUAAAAAAAGAAUAAUAAAAUGUAAACAAAUAUAUUAUAUGUGUGUGUGUGUGUGUGUGUGUGUGACCCUGGAACACAAAACCAGUCAUAAGGGUCAAAUUUUAUUAAAACUUAGAUUUGAAUGAAUAAGCUUUCCAUUGAUGUAUGGUUUGUUAGGAGAGGACAAUAUUUGGCCAAGAUCACUGAUCUAUAUAUGACAUAUAUCUAUAUAUGUUCUAUAUUAUAGAUCAGUGGCCAAGAUACAACUAUUUGAAAAUCUGGAAUCUAGAGGGUAGACAAAAAAAUACUAAAUAUUGAGAAAUCACCUUUAAAGUUGUCCACAUGAAGUUCUUAGCAAUGCAUAUUACUAAUCAUAAAUUAAGUUUUGAUAUAUUUAUGGUAGGAAAUUUACAAAAAUAUCUUCAAGGAACAUGAUCUUUACUUAAUAUCCUAAUGAUUUUUUGGCAUAAAAGAAAAAUCAAUGAUUUGACCCAUACAAUGAAUUGUUGGAUAUUGCUACAAAUAUACCCCAGCGACUUAAGACUGGUUUUGUGCUCCAGUCUCACACACAUAUUCUGUUUGUUUUAAUAUUAUUCUUACAUUUAAUUGUAUUAUAAUACAAAAACAUUUUUUUAAAAUUAAAUGUCUGCAUAAAUUCUGUUUCAGUAUUAUUAUUAUUAUUAUUAUAUUAAGAAAAUUUAUUAUAAAUGAAAAUAUAAUUAAUGAAAACAAAUAUAAAAGCCUGUUUUAACACUAUUAUUACAAUUUAGAAAUUAAUUUUAAAAAUAUUUUUUAAAUAAAAAAACAUUAAUUUUAAAAUAAAUGUUAUUUAUAUAUAAAUACAUUUUGUUUUAAUGAUUCUUACAUUUAACAAUAAAAAAAGAAAUUAUGUAAUUUUAAAAUAAAAUGUAUGUAUAAUUUUUGCCUGUUUUAAUUUUAUUAUUACAUUCAGGAAAUUUUUUUUUAUAUUAUUUCUACAGUUAAGGAAUAAAAUAAAACCAAAAAUAAAUUUUAUUAAGAAUAAAAUAAAGAAAAUAUUUAAAAAAUAUAUACAUUUUGUUUUAAUUUUACUCUUACUAUAUAAGAAUAAAAGAAAAAAAGAAAUGUUAUUUUUUAAAAUAGAUGUUAUUUUAUG